ACCUACGGGGCGCAGCAGUAGGGAAUCUUCCACAAUGGGCGAAAGCCUGAUGGAGCAACGCCGCGUGGGUGAAGAAGGUCUUCGGAUCGUAAAACCCUGUUGUUAGAGAAGAAAGUGCGUGAGAGUAACUGUUCACGUUUCGACGGUAUCUAACCAGAAAGCCACGGCUAACUACGUGCCAGCAGCCGCGGUAAUACGUAGGUGGCAAGCGUUAUCCGGAUUUAUUGGGCGUAAAGGGAACGCAGGCGGUCUUUUAAGUCUGAUGUGAGAGCCAUCGGCUUAACCGGAGUAGUGCAUUGGAAACU
rnacentral:rRNA from 1 species